GCUGGUGUAGCUUAGUUGGUAGAGCAACUGACUUGUAAUCAGUACGUCACAGGUUCGAAUCCUUUCGCCAGCU
rnacentral:tRNA from 1 species